AUCUGGGCGGCGGAAUUCAGGAUGGUUGCGGGCGAGCUCGCUCGUGCGCGGCCCUUUGAUAUUUCCGUCGCCGUGUCGGACGUCGCGACCUGUUCGCCCGUGUCGGUCCCUGCUCGGAGGAAGCGCGCUCGAGCUCGUUUCGCGGUACGCUUCGGCGUGUCGCGCGGCGAAGACGCGACUCUCUGGCCGACGGCGGACAGUAAGCAACGGUGGCCGGCGUCGUGUCUCGCACUCGACGUCGGUGCCGGUCUGCGACGAUUUCUUCGGGCCUCUUUCCGACCCGUCUUGAAACACGGACCAAGGAGUCUAACAUGCGCGCGAGUCGCGGGGCAUCGAGCGUACCACGGUGCGCUCGUCAUGUGCGAAACCCGUCUCUGAAAGGCGUAAUGAAAGUGAACAGGGAAGAUGGCGUUCCGAGUCCACGUACCGUGAACGAGUGUCGCGGCCGGACGUCCGCACUCCCGGGGCGUCUCAAUGGCUCGUCGCGGACGCGGACGAUCGUCUCUCGGGGCGGUGGUCGGUCUGCGUCGGACCGA
rnacentral:rRNA from 1 species